CCUACGGGAGGCAGCAGUCGAGAAUCAUUCACAAUGGGGGAAACCCUGAUGGUGCGACGCCGCGUGGGGGAAUGAAGGUCUUCGGAUUGUAAACCCCUGUCAUGGGGGAGCAAAUUAAAAAGAUAGUACCACAAGAGGAAGAGACGGCUAACUCUGUGCCAGCAGCCGCGGUAAUACAGAGGUCUCAAGCGUUGUUCGGAAUCACUGGGCGUAAGGCGUGCGUAGGCGGUUGCGUAAGUCGUGUGUGAAAGGCGCGGGCUCAACCCGCGGACGGCACAUGAUACUGCGAGACUAGAGUAAUGGAGGGGGAACCGGAAUUCUCGAUGUAGCAGUGAAAUGCGUAGAUAUCGAGAGGAACACUCGUGGCGAAGGCGGGUUCCUGGACAUUAACUGACGCUGAGGCACGAAGGCCAGGGGAGCGAAAGGGAUUAGAUACCCCGGUAGUC
rnacentral:rRNA from 1 species